UACGGAGGGUGCAAGCGUUAUCCGGAUUUACUGGGUUUAAAGGGUGCGUAGGUGGGUAAGUAAGUCAGUGGUGAAAUCUUCGAGCUUAACUCGGAAACUGCCAUUGAUACUAUUUAUCUUGAAUACUUUGGAGGUAAGCGGAAUAUGUCAUGUAGCGGUGAAAUGCUUAGAUAUGACAUAGAACACCAAUUGCGAAGGCAGCUUACUACACAGUUAUUGACACUGAGGCAUGAAAGCGUGGGGAUCAAACAGG
rnacentral:rRNA from 1 species